AUUGAACGCUGGCGGCAUGCCUUACACAUGCAAGUCGAACGGCAGCACGGGUGCUUGCACCUGUUGGCGAGUGGCGAACGGGUGAGUAAUACAUCGGAACAUGUCCUGUUGUGUGGGAUAGCCCGGCGAAAGCCGGAUUAAUACCGCAUACGAUCUACGGAUGAAAGCGGGGGUCCUUCGGGCCUUGCGCUAUAGGGUUGGCCGAUUGCUGAUUAGCUAGUUGGUGGGGUUAAGGCCUACCAAGACGACUAUCAGUAGCUGGUCUGAGAGGACGACCAGCCACACUGGGACUGAGACAGGGCCCAGACUCCUACGGGAGGCAGCAGUGGGGAAUUUUGGACAAUGGGCGGAAGCCUGAUCCAGCAAUGCCGCGUGUGUGAAGAAGGCCUUCGGGGUGUAAAGCACUUUUGUCCGGAAAGAAAUCCUUGGCCCUAAUACGGUCGGGGGAUGACGGUACCGGAAGGAUAAGCACCGGCUAACUACGUG
rnacentral:rRNA from 1 species